GAACGAAGCACUUUAUUUGAUUUCCUUCGGGACUGAUUAUUUUGUGACUGAGUGGCGGACGGGUGAGUAACGCGUGGGUAACCUGCCUUGUACAGGGGGAUAACAGUUGGAAACGGCUGCUAAUACCGCAUAAGCGCACAGCAUCGCAUGAUGCAGUGUGAAAAACUCCGGUGGUAUAAGAUGGACCCGCGUUGGAUUAGCUAGUUGGUGAGGUAACGGCCCACCAAGGCGACGAUCCAUAGCCGACCUGAGAGGGUGACCGGCCACAUUGGGACUGAGACACGGCCCAAACUCCUACGGGAGGCAGCAGUGGGGAAUAUUGCACAAUGGGCGAAAGCCUGAUGCAGCGACGCCGCGUGAGCGAAGAAGUAUUUCGGUAUGUAAAGCUCUAUCAGCAGGGAAGAUAAUGACGGUACCUGACUAAGAAGCACCGGCUAAAUACGUGCCAGCAGCCGCGGUAAUACGUAUGGUGCAAGCGUUAUCCGGAUUUACUGGGUGUAAAGGGAGCGCAGGCGGUGCGGCAAGUCUGAUGUGAAAGUCCCGGGGCUCAACCCCGGUACUGCAUUGGAAACUGUCGUACUAGAGUGUCGGAGGGGUAAGCGGAAUUCCUAGUGUAGCGGUGAAAUGCGUAGAUAUUAGGAGGAACACCAGUGGCGA
rnacentral:rRNA from 1 species